rnacentral:tRNA from 1 species
GGGCGCGUAGCUCAGUUGGUUAGAGCGCCACACUGAUAAUGUGGAGGUCGGAGGUUCGACUCCUCCCGCGCCCACCA